CACGUAGGGUGCGAGCGUUGUCCGGAAUUAUUGGGCGUAAAGAGCUCGUAGGCGGUCUGUCGCGUCGGCUGUGAAAUCCCGAGGCUCAACCUCGGGUCUGCAGUCGAUACGGGCAAACUGGAGUGUUGCAGGGGAGACUGGAAUUCCUGGUGUAGCGGUGAAAUGCGUAGAUAUCGGGAGGAACACCAGUGGCGAAGGCGGCUACCUGGCCCACUCUUGACGCUGAGGCGCGAAAGCUAGGGGAGCAAACGGG
rnacentral:rRNA from 1 species